CAGAACAGGUACAGCACAGGCAGUGACAGUGCAGCUUUCCCCACACCGCCCCAUGUGCCUCAACCCUGACCUGGAGGGACCACCUCUAGA
rnacentral:sRNA from 1 species